AAACCAGCACCUCAAGUGGUCAGGAGGAUUAUUGGGCCUAAAGCAUCCGUAGCCUGUUCUGUAAGUUUUCGGUUAAAUCCAUUAGCUCAACUAAUGGGCCGCCGAAAAUACUGCAUAACUAGGGAGUGGGAGAGGUAGACGGUACUCGGUAGGAAGGGGUAAAAUCCUUUGAUCUAUUGAUGACCACCUGUGGCGAAGGCGGUCUACCAGAACACGUUCGACGGUGAGGGAUGAAAGCUAGGGGAGCAAACCGGAUUAGAAACCCCAGUAGUCC
rnacentral:rRNA from 1 species